rnacentral:lncRNA from 1 species
AACCCCUCACCUAAAAUUAAACCCCUCAUCAUCGCGUUUCACUCUCCUCUACCUCACUUCGCGUCUCAGCCUCUCUCUCAGAUCGCGAUUCCUUGACUCCAUGGCUUGAACCUCUCUCAGCGAUGGCGAACUCCAUGGCUUGAACCUCUCUCAGCGAUGGCGAACUCCAUGGCUUGAAGGUAAGCACUUCGUCCUGGGUUUGGUUUCUUAGAUUUCUUCCACUUCGAUUUGAUGGUUUGGUUUCUUCGAUUUCUCACGAUUUCAGGUUUGUGAUUUGGAUCUGUUUGUUUUGGUUAGG